GAAAUAUUGUUGCAAAAAUUUUCCAAUACGCAUUUCCUCCGUAUUACAUUCCAUCUAUAUAUUAUUUAAUCUGUUACGGCGAACCUAGCGUCUAAUUCAAUAAUACCGUACCAACACCUGAACCAACAUCAGAAAUUCUGGAAUACCAAAGUAUUAAAAAUCCCCAAACAUCAUUUCCAUAUUAUCGACAACCAAUAAUCUCGACGCCAGAGGCGGCACAAAAGUGCCCAGGCGCGACGUAUAUUCGUAAAGAUAUUCGUUCCACGCUCGAUACAACAACCCCUGGCUUUCCAUUUUUCCUCUUUCCGUUCGCGUGCAUCUGCAAACAGGAUGAAAUGAGAUAGAAUCGAGCAGAGAGAGAAACAGAGAGAGAGAGAGAGAGAGAGAGAGAGAAUGAGGUAAAGGAUGAAGGGGAUGAACGAAACGAAGGGAGAGUUCGCGGGAAAAGGAGAAGAAUAGGCAGGGAUUUAAUUGCGGAAUUCCCAGUAGUAAUGUCUACCAUGGACCACCCUCUUCUCUUUUCGUCUUUCCUUGUCCUAUCUCUCGCGCUUUUAUCUUCAUUAUCUAUCAACUUAGCCAAGAGCCAGGGCCGAAUUCUCUUCCCAUCCAGAAUUGGUGAAUAUUUCCACUCGAAAUAUAUCCUCUAUCUUCUUUUUCUUUCUCUUCCUCUUCUUUUCCUUCCAGUUAGUUUUCUACGAAAGGAGAAAGAGAAAAAGAGAGAGAGAGAGAGGCAAGGAUCGACCUAAGCUUAACUCGAUAAACUCUUCGAGAGCUUUGAAUCAGACGGUAAAUUCCGCGGUUGCGUUUAUCAGAGUUACUACGAAUUGCAUGAAAGAAGGGGGAGAAAAAUAUGGGGGAUGAAUGCGAUCGAUAAAGUUGCUGCAACUUUUCCCUUCGACUUGUUUCUAUUAUUUUCCUUUUCUCCUUUCGUUUGCUUUUUAUGUUAUAUUUUUUUCUAUCUUGUUCCCUCCUUUUUUCUUCGAUUUUCGUUUCUUUCUCAAUCGGGUGGAAUGAAAUUGUUGAGAAAUUCUCGGUUCAUUAAAACCAUAAUUCGUCUCUGCUUUGUGAAACUCGUAUAUCGCGAGAUUUAUUAUUCUGAGAGAGAAAAAGAGAGAGAGAUAGAGAGUGGAUCGCAAUGAGUUAUUACACCAUAAGUUUAAUAAUAAAGGUAUAUUUUUGUCUUAAAACUUUUUCGAGAAGUCGAGUCGACAACCAUUUUUCUACAUUACGUGAUCGUUUAUCCAGACAAGAUCAUUUAUCCUUUAAACGUUACUUCAUACAAAUAUCAUAAUCGUUAUUUCAUCGUAGAUUUCUCCAUUUUAAAAAUCAAUAAACAUGUAUCUUAAUAUUAUUAUUAUUAUACGUGAUUUAAAAUCUCGUUAAAAUUUCACUUUGCGCGAACUUCCAAGAACUAUCUACCAGAAAUUAACCCAUUAAUCGCACAAUCUUCGCAACGAUGGGCGUACAAUAUGGAAAUCGGG